GUGUUACUUUAGCAGACCUCACAGUUGUAAACCUCCAAAAUGAUCUUCUUUCUGGGCUUAUUCCUUAUGGACCUUUCAGGUAACACCCAUGGAAACAAAAUCACUCCAAACAGUGUUGAUCUCAACAUGGUUGAGGGACAUAGUUUAACCCUCUCCUGCAACAUUAGUUACAGCUCUGGAGACGUUCUACAGUGGUAUCGACAGCACCCAAGAUCGGUACCUCAGUUUCUCUUGUUUAUAAUUAGUAAACCAGAGACAUCAAAUGUGGAUCCUCGAUUCUCUGGGAGACUGAAUGAGGAUAAAAGUCAAAUGUUUCUGGAACUCACUGCAGCUAAACUCUCAGACUCUGCUCUCUACUACUGCGCCAUGAGGCCCACAGUGAAGGAAACAGACAGACUGUCAAACAAAAACUCAUAUGACAUGACAUGA